GGCCUGGUGGUCUAGAGGUAUGAUUCCUUCUUAGGGUUCUCUAAUCGUUUGGAGGAGGUCCCGGGUUCAAUUCCCGGCUAGGCCC